rnacentral:rRNA from 1 species
AGAGUUUGAUCCUGGCUCAGAACGAACGCUGGCGGCAGGCUUAACACAUGCAAGUCGAACGUGAAGCAGGAGCUUGCUCCUGUGGAAAGUGGCAGACGGGUGAGUAACGCGUGGGAAUUUACCCAGUGGUUCGGAAUAACGCAUGGAAACGUGUGCUAAUACCGGAUACGCCCUUCGGGGGAAAGAUUUAUCGCCAUUGGAUAAGCCCGCGUCGGAUUAGCUUGUUGGUGAGGUAAUGGCUCACCAAGGCGACGAUCCGUAGCUGGUCUGAGAGGAUGAUCAGCCACACUGGGACUGAGACACGGCCCAGACUCCUACGGGAGGCAGCAGUGGGGAAUAUUGCGCAAUGGGGGAAACCCUGACGCAGCCAUGCCGCGUGAGUGAAGAAGGCCUUAGAGUUGUAAAACUCUUUCAGUGGUGAAGAUAAUGACGGUAGCCACAGAAGAAGCCCCGGCUAACUCCGUGCCAGCAGCCGCGGUAAUACGGAGGGGGCUAGCGUUGUUCGGAUUUACUGGGCGUAAAGCGCGCGUAGGCGGGCUGGUUAGUUGGGGGUGAAAUCCCGGGGCCCAACCUCGGAACUGCCUUUGAUACUGCAAGUCUGGAGUCCGGAAGAGGUGGGUGGAAUUCCUAGUGUAGAGGUGAAAUUCGUAGAUAUUAGGAAGAACACCGGUGGCGAAGGCGGCCCACUGGUCCGGUACU